GGCAGCCAAUUGCGCACAGCAGUGUCCCACAAACAGUCGUAGCUUGAUUCUGACAGGCCCUGCCAAGCGACAAAAGGCAACCCUCAAGAAUAGCAACUGAUGAGCAAGUUGUUUAAACGAGAGGACUUAAACUAGGAUACUAAUAAGAAAUAACCAGUCACAUAAAAGGAAUACAGUAAUGAUCCCACAUAAUAAAAUAAUAAGCACCAGAUAAAGCCCUAAACUGAUCAAUCUCCUAUCUUAGACAGGACAAAGGGAAGACCAUGGGGAGACUCAGUCAGGUUGGCACCAAGCCAAAUGAUUGAUCAACGUGAGUACGUGACUGUAUCAGGAAGGGGUAGAGGGGCCAUAGGAAGGACACUUGAAGAAAGGGUAUAACUAUCACACCUCUAGGUUAGAAGAACAGGAAGGCUCCAGAGAGAGAGAGAGAGAGAGACCAGUUUGGAGAGUUCCCUUUAAGAAUCACAAGGAAGAUUUUCCGUGACGUUGUAAUAUGUUAAUACAUGUUGUGUUCACUCUGUUCAUAAUAAACCUUGCUACACCAUAUUUGGAUUGUCGAGUCAAAUUUUGGGCUGUGGGAUCGGAAAUCCAAACAAUACCAAGAAACUGUAAGAGAGUUGAGGGGUCGGGUACAAGAGAAUUGCUGAAUUGAACUGUCGUGUGGGGGAGCAGCAGGCUGUUGUUAACUUGGCAAAGGGCAGCUAAAGAAGAACAGAAAGAAAGAGAAAGGGAAAGUGAGAGCAAAGGAUCAGCAGAUUAGUCGAUUGCAGAAGGAGCUGAGUGACCCUCGAGGGGUGCCAGGAGAAGAAUUAAAAUAAAUCGGGACGGGAACCGACGAUCAUACUAGAUGCCAGGCUCAGAUCAAAGAUUUGCAGCGUAAGCUAGGGCAACGUCAGGCAGUCAUAGUUGCAGUAACGAGAGGAGAUAAUGAUUAUGAUGUAGGGCGGGAUAGCCUGGAGGAUAAGGCGGCCAAUUAUCGCGAGGAUACGCCAAACUACUGUUGGGGGGCAACCCGAUUAAGCCUCAAUGCCCGGGCCACCGAAAGAUAGAAGUGGUAUAUCGAAAUGCCCGCACUAACCCCAUAACGCAUGCCGUAACAGCCCUGUAUGAGGAGGAAAGACCCAUUAACCAUGAAGCUGAAGGCGCAAAAGACCAAGAACGUGAAAGAAUUAUUGCGGUUCCUGUGGAUCGGACACCUUUUCUGGCUUCAUGGACGAAAACAAAUCCUGACAUCAAUAGAUGGGCGUCAUAUUGAUUACUUUAUUCUCGUAUGCCUUUGUAAUUGCUCAUCUUAUUGUACUACUUAUCUUACUGAUUGCUUUAACCUACCUUCGCCCCUUUACUACUAAGAUGCAGUCUAAACUUCAAUGUUAUGAACUUGCCGCCUUGCGAAAAAACAUAGCCAUGUGUGAGGGAUCAAGAAGGAUCUUUCUCCCUCAAGGUGGGGACUGUUAGAAUAUGAUAUAUGUAAUGAAACACUUCAAGGCAGAGCUGAAUAAAAUUGUAAAGGUUAA